CGAUUUGGCUGUCGUCAGCUCGUGUCGUGAGACGUUGGGUUAAGUCCCCUAACGAGCAAAACCCUUGUCCUUAGUUGCCAACAGAUAAUGCUGGGUACUCUAAAGAGACUGCUGUCGUUAAGACGGAGGAAGGUGGGGAUGACGUCAAGUCAUCAUGGCCCUUAUAUCCCGGGCUGCACACGUGCUACAAUGGUCGGUACAAAGGGAUGCUAAGUCGUAAGGCGGAGCGAAACCCAGAAAGCCGAUCUCAGUUCAGAUUGGAGGCUGAAACCCGCCUCCAUGAAGUAGGAAUCGCUAGUAAUCGCGGAUC
rnacentral:rRNA from 1 species